ensembl:lncRNA
AAUGGUCAUAUUUGCUGACAUCAGCUGACUCAUAGCAGUUCAUGAGAUUUAUGGAAGACCCCCUUCAGUCUGCGUGGUUCUGGCAAACAGAAUGGAUGGGUGCCUGAUAAUGAAAGGGAAAGUGUAUCACAGUUCAAUGGAGGCAGCAGUGUAUACGUAUCCUUCCAGGAGGCGUGCAUGCUUCUCCUCCUCUGCUGGAGACUUCAUGAGAAAUCCCUUGUCCCAGGGUCCCAAAUUACUCAAAGCAAGUGAAGGCACUGAAAUCACUACAGCAGGUUUGAACUGAAUCGUAAGCAUCUCUCAAAAAGGAGAUGAGAAUCCUGAGGAUGAUCUGCAUACGUUUUUACACCAGAACAAUUGGAAUUGCACAGAGCAAUGCUGAUUUCCACCUUCUGCCCUUUACAGAGGCCUUACUAGCUUGUGUUUCUUCCGUGCUUUGGUGGUCUCCAGACUGGGAGAUGUUUCUAUGUCUUUAUGCAGUGGUGGGAUGGCUGAGGGCUCUCAAUCAAUGUGAUGCCAUCCAAGCUAGCCUGCCUGUAAGGAAAAGCUUAUGUCAAGCAAGCGAUCUGCGGAUUAGUUCUGCAUUGCCUGCAAAACUAAAUGUGCA